GGGGAAUCUUAGACAAUGGGGGAAACCCUGAUCUAGCCAUGCCGCGUGAUCGAUGAAGGCCUUAGGGUUGUAAAGAUCUUUCAGCUGGGAAGAUAAUGACGGUACCAGCAGAAGAAGCCCCGGCUAACUCCGUGCCAGCAGCCGCGGUAAUACGGAGGGGGCUAGCGUUGUUCGGAAUUACUGGGCGUAAAGCGCACGUAGGCGGAUUGGUAAGUUGGGGGUGAAAUCCCAGGGCUCAACCCUGGAACUGCCUCCAAAACUCCCAGUCUUGAGGUCGAGAGAGGUGAGUGGAAUUCCGAGUGUAGAGGUGAAAUUCGUAGAUAUUCGGAGGAACACCAGUGGCGAAGGCGGCUCACUGGCUCGAUACUGACGCUGAGGUGCGAAAGCGUGGGGAGCAAAC
rnacentral:rRNA from 1 species